GACAGAGGGUGCAAACGUUGCUCGGAAUUACUGGGCGUAAAGCGCGUGUAGGCGGUCACGCAAGUCAGGUGUGAAAGCCCAGGGCUCAACCCUGGAAGUGCACAUGAUACUACGUGGCUGGAGUACUGAAGAGGAGAGCGGAAUUCCCGGUGUAGAGGCGAAAUUCGUAGAUAUCGGAAGGAACACCAGUGGCGAAGGCGGCUCUCUGGGCAGAUACUGACGCUGAGACGCGAAAGCGUGGGUAGCAAACAGG
rnacentral:rRNA from 1 species